GGUGGGUUAGCUCAAUGGUUAGAGCUUAGGUCUUGCGAGCGGAAGGUCCCGGGAUCAAAUUUCGCCAGAGGCAGAA
rnacentral:tRNA from 1 species